GGUGGCUCAGUGGUAGAGUGCUUGCCUUGAAUGCAAGAGGCCCUGGGUUCAAUUCCCUCAGCACCA
rfam:Dipodomys ordii contig_1214, whole genome shotgun sequence.